rnacentral:rRNA from 1 species
GACGAACGCUGGCGGCGUGCUUAACACAUGCAAGUCGAACGGAAAGGCCCUGCUUUUGUGGGGUGCUCGAGUGGCGAACGGGGGAGUAACACGUGAGUAACCUGCCCUUGACUUUGGGAUAACUUCAGGAAACUGGGGCUAAUACCGGAUAGGAGCUCCUGCUGCAUGGUGGGGGUUGGAAAGUUUCGGCGGUUGGGGAUGGACUCGCGGCUUAUCAGCUUGUUGGUGGGGUAGUGGCUUACCAAGGCUUUGACGGGUAGCCGGCCUGGGAGGGUGACCGGCCACAUUGGGACUGAGAUACGGCCCAGACUCCUACGGGAGGCAGCAGUGGGGAAUAUUGCACAAUGGGCGGAAGCCUGAUGCAGCAACGCCGCGUGCGGGAUGACGGCCUUCGGGUUGUAAACCGCUUUCGCCUGUGACGAAGCGUGAGUGACGGUAAUGGGUAAAGAAGCACCGGCUAACUACGUG